AUUCUAAAAAGUUUACUCGAUUUAUAAAUUAUAAAGAUUUAUUUGAAAUUGUAUUUAAAACACAGUUAUACGCUGCAAUUUGCAAGUCGCGUUAGAUGUAUUAACUCGUAAAGCAGCUGUGAUCAUUAUCGGUGAUAGAAAUUCACAUUUAACAAUCUGUAACUAAUUCGAGUCACGAUUAGGUCACUAGUGACGCUGCUGAAGAAUUGACACGAAGUCACAAAUAAGUUGCGAACGCAAAUAUAGGAGGAAUAGAAGAGGAAUAAAUACUAAACGUAAGUUAUGCGCUCUGAAUUGUAUAUAGCAUAUGCUUAUAACAUAUCAUUGUCAUCCUAGGAAGUUUUUAUUAUUCAUUGUGAAUAAAUAAUUAUUCGGAAAUCAUUUGAUCCUCUCAUUGCGAAGCAACAAUUUGACCUGAAUGUGUAUUGAGUGAAAGAAUUUUGGUUUACUUUA